GACGAACGCUGGCGGCGUGCUUAACACAUGCAAGUCGAACGGAAAGGCCCUGCUUUUGUGGGGUGCUCGAGUGGCGAACGGGUGAGUAACACGUGAGUAACCUGCCCUUGACUUUGGGAUAACUUCAGGAAACUGGGGCUAAUACCGGAUAGGAGCUCCUGCUGCAUGGUGGGGGUUGGAAAGUUUCGGCGGUUGGGGAUGGACUCGCGGCUUAUCAGCUUGUUGGUGGGGUAGUGGCUUACCAAGGCUUUGACGGGUAGCCGGCCUGAGAGGGUGACCGGCCCAUUUGGGGCGGGGUAACGGCCCAGACCCCUAGGGGGGGCGGGGGGGGGGAUAUUUGCACAAGGGGGGGAGGCUGAAUGAGGAAACCCCGGGGGGGGGAGGCGGGCCUUGGGGUUUAAACCCGUUUUGCCUGGGACGGAGGGGGGGGGGGGGGAAGGGGGAAAGAAAGCCCCGCUAACUUCGGG
rnacentral:rRNA from 1 species